rnacentral:rRNA from 1 species
AAGACUGGCUUAACUCCGGGAAACCGGAGCUAAUACCGGAUAGUUCCUUGAACCGCAUGGUUCAAGGAUGAAAGACGGUUUCGGCUGUCACUUACAGAUGGACCCGCGGCGCAUUAGCUAGUUGGUGAGGUAACGGCUCACCAAGGCGACGAUGCGUAGCCGACCUGAGAGGGUGAUCGGCCACACUGGGACUGAGACACGGCCCAGACUCCUACGGGAGGCAGCAGUAGGGAAUCUUCCGCAAUGGACGAAAGUCUGACGGAGCAACGCCGCGUGAGUGAUGAAGGUUUUCGGAUCGUAAAGCUCUGUUGUUAGGGAAGAACAAGUGCAAGAGUAACUGCUUGCACCUUGACGGUACCUAACCAGAAAGCCACGGCUAACUACGUGCCAGCAGCCGCGGUAAUACGUAGGUGGCCAAGCGUUGUCCGGGAAUUAUUGGGCGUAAAGGGCUCGCAGGCGGUUUCUUAAGUCUGAUGUGAAAGCCCCCCGGCUCAACCGGGGAGGGUCAUUGGAAACUGGGAAACUUGAGUGCAGAAGAGGAGAGUGGAAUUCCACGUGUAGCGGUGAAAUGCGUAGAGAUGUGGAGGAACACCAGUGGCGAAGGCGACUCUCUGGUCUGUAACUGACGCUGAGGAGCGAAAGCGUGGGGAGCGAACAGGAUUAGAUACCCUGGUAGUCCACGCCGUAAACGAUGAGUGCUAAGUGUUAGGGGGUUUCCGCCCCUUAGUGCUGCAGCUAACGCAUUAAGCACUCCGCCUGGGGAGUACGGUCGCAAGACUGAAACUCAAAGGAAUUGACGGGGGCCCGCACAAGCGGUGGAGCAUGUGGUUUAAUUCGAAGCAACGCGAAGAACCUUACCAGGUCUUGACAUCCUCUGACAACCCUAGAGAUAGGGCUUUCCCUUCGGGGACAGAGUGACAGGUGGUGCAUGGUUGUCGUCAGCUCGUGUCGUGAGAUGUUGGGUUAAGUCCCGCAACGAGCGCAACCCUUGAUCUUAGUUGCCAGCAUUCAGUUGGGCACUCUAAGGUGACUGCCGGUGACAAACCGGAGGAAGGUGGGGAUGACGUCAAAUCAUCAUGCCCCUUAUGACCUGGGCUACUCACGUGCGACAACGGACCGAACAAAGGGCUGCUAGACGGCAAGGUUUAGCCAAUCCCACAAAUCUG